rnacentral:lncRNA from 1 species
AAAAGUGAUGGUUCAAGAAUCUAGGCUCACCAGGCCAUGGUGGACUGUGAUUGCAGCAACCUGUUAUCCCUCCACUGUUGGGAAUGGGAGGUGUUCGCUGUUCUGUGAAACCAGCCUCACGCAGUGCCCUCCACUCUAAGAACCAGGAGACCUAUGCCUUCGCUUAGGUCCCAUGAUUCAAUUCUCAACUUGGAGCGGACAGGCCAACACAUUGCAGCCGCAGCCCAACCCAGCAAAGCCAAAGAACUGUUCCAUCACCUUGGUGCCCCCACUUGAGUCACAAGCUGACGUAACUCAACUCGGCAUUCAGACAACUUUGUCAGAGGGCAUAUAAAGAUUUUGUUGUCUCCUUUUCUUUCCUAUGUGGGACAUAAGUAAGAAGAAAGUUUGCAGUUUAACACUAACAAUCUCAAAGAGCUUCUUUCUGGAUGAAAUGAAAGAUAAAUUGGAUUAAUUUGGGGAAAACAAAAGAUUGUAAUUUGUACUAUAUGCUUUGGUAUAAGUUGUUAGAUGUUUGUAUUCCUCCCUGCGGAAGCAAAAACACAGAGAAAUGCAGCCUGUUCAACUAGUUACAUAUUGGACAGUUUAGCAUGUCUUUAUUUAAAAUCUUGUACAUUUGAUUUUUCUCUGCAGCUUUUCAUACACGAUAGCUUUUGUUUAAGGAGUGUCUUUCUAUUGGCAUUUCAAAAUGUGAUCAAUUAUUCUGAUACUAAAGAUUAAAGAAUGCCAAACAUAAACAUUUAUAAUGUUAAAUAUGUUUAAGUUUUGAACUGAAAUCCUACACAGAACAGGUAACAUUCCCCUAUUCUUCAUACGUGUGUGCUCAUUGUGUUUUUUUUUAUAAUAUCUAGAAAUUAACAACAAAGGGUGCAUGUGUAGCAGGUUAAAGCCUAGGAUAAGGCGCUAAGCAGAGGAACCGAUGGCAUGAAGCUAUGAAGAUUCAAAGCUGUGGCAUAUAUGAAUUUUGUUGGUCUAGUUUUGUUUUGUCUAAUUUUUUUAUUUUUACUGUUUCAUCCCACCUACAAAUUCUCAGGUUUAUUAGUGAGUGAGAGUGUGGUAUAGUUCAUGACUUUAGAUUGCUCUUUAUAUCAUCUUACCUUGGAUGCUUUAGAUUGUAGAGAAUAUAUAUAGGAGCAUAUGAUGUAAAGGAGAAAAAUAAUAGCCAUCAAAAUGUCAAGACUGUUUUUGGCACCACAAGAUUCAAAACUAUUUAAUUUUUUCUUUAAUUUUUUUGGUACCACAAGAAUGUUAUUUUAAAAGAAAAAAUAGCUUGCCUUCAUGGUUGCAACUUGUAAGAAGUUUCUUGUUAUAUUCAGUAUAAUAUGUUGAAUUUGAUCCUCUUAAUUUUUCCUUUUGUGUUUAAUAAUAAUCUUUAUGGUUGGGUUUUGAUAAAGGAUCCAUAAAGGUGUUUGUGGUUGUUACGAAUACAUUUGCAGACUUGCACUCAUAUUACUAGUAUCUAUCUUUAAUUUUCUAUUGUCUGAUGGAUUGCAAAGAAAUUAUAACUGUGACCCAUGUUUGAAACCUCAAUCGCAAGGUUUUAAAUAUUGGUCGCGGUCAUGUUACGGUUUUGGUAUAUUUGUUGAUAUCGUGACAAAUUACAGGAUAGAUGCAGUCUUAAUUGUGUCAUGUUUUGCUGCGGACAAUUAAAAACCUUGAUGUUUUAGACCAAAUCAUGGUUCUGUAGAUAAUAUUUUCAUUUUCAAGAGUUUCUAAGUGAAUCAAAUAUGGUACAUGGCUGAAGAGGGUAACCAUUUUUUACCAGUGAGUAUUGGUACCCAACAACUUCAAAAGUAAAUCUCAUCUCAUGAUAGAGAGGUAUUAAGAAAAAAAAACUCAAAUAGAGGGAUUGUUGGGAUGGAUGUGGAUCUGAUCUUUGCUCAUUUGAAUUGCAUUUGCAGAAGCUAUUUAUCUAAUAACUAGACUUUAGUUAUCUUACACAAUCAUGUGGUUGUAGCACAAAAAAAAUGCCCAACCCAGGCCAACAUUAAUGAAGAGAUUUUCACACACACAAAAAAAUGAUGGUCCAAGCUUCUAGGCUCACCAGGCCAUGGUGGACUGUGAUUGCAGCAACCUGUUAUCCCUCCACUGUUGGGAAUGGGAGGUGUUCGCUGUUCUGUGAAACCAGCCUCACGCAGUGCCCUCCACUCUAAGAACCAGGAGACCUAUGCCUUCGCUCAAGUCCCAUGAUUCAAUUCUCAACUUGGAGCGGGCAGGCCAACAUUUUGCGGUCACAGCCCAACCCAGCAAAGCCAAAGAACUGUUCCAUCACCUUGGUGCCCCCACUUGGGUCACAAGCUAACGUAACUCAGCUCGGCAUUCAAUCAAGC